ACAUCCACCCACCUUAACCUCCAUCGACACAUGCAUCCAUCCAUCCAUCAACCCAUGCAUCCAUCCAUCUACCCAUCCACCCACCCAUCCAUCAUCCAUCCACCCAUCCAUUAUCCAUUCACCCAUCCAUUAUCUACCCAUCAUCUGUCACCCAUCCAUUCAUCUGUCUAAACAGGUAUUUCCUCCCCCCUCACUUGCCCUUGUCAAACCAUCAGUCUUCCUGGGGCCAUGCUAGGUGUCUUGGGAAGACUGUGCUCACCUCAGGCUUUGUGUUGUGUGGUUUGUGUGAGUGGUUUGUAAGUGUGUUGUGUGUGUGUGGUGUGUUGUGUAUGCACGUUCAUGGGCAGAGGCCUCCAGGAGCACCCACACACGGGCAGGGAUAUUUGCCCUCCCUUCACACUGUCCUGCCACUCCCCUCUCUCACUCAGCCCCUGCUCUCUGUAGGAGCGGGAUUUCUCCUCCAUCCAGGUGGGGGUGGUUUCUGACACCUUGGCCUGGCCUCCUGCUCUCACCGUCUGUGCAUCCCUGUGUGUAUGANNNNNNNNNNUCCCCUCUCUCACUCAGCCCCUGCUCUCUGUAGGAGCGGGAUUUCUCCUCCAUCCAGGUGGGGGUGGUUUCUGACACCUUGGCCUGGCCUCCUGCUCUCACCGUCUGUGCCCAGGGGCAGGGCCUUGUCGUGGAGCCCCCACAAGAUGAGGGCCCCUGAGUGAGGGUGGGGGGUCAGCAGGGUGCCCCGUUUCCUGACCCUGCUGCCUGGGGAGGCUCCCAGUUGAGCGGGAGCUGAGAGAGGCCCUUCGCACUUGCUGGCCUGCCUGUUAGCUCGGAGCCCAGCCUGGAGCUGCACAUGGGCUCUGCUCUGUACCGGGGGUGGUGGGGCAGGGUGGUUGGCGCCCUUGCCUCCAGCAGCACCCAGGCUGCAAGUUCCCCAGGUUGUGAAGACCAAAGAGAGAAGAAAAGCAGGGACUUCCUUUAUUUUUGGGGGGAGGUUUCUCAUGGGAGCUGCCUUGGGCACCAGCCUAAGGGGCUGAGGGACAGGCUGGUGUGUGGAGCGUGGAGAGCGAGGCUGGGCAGAGAGGCAUCCUCUCAGGGUGCCUCGCCCUGGGGGCCCAGCGGCAGGUUACAGAAGGGAAGGGUCCUUGUCAGUCCUUGCGGAGUCGAGGGUUGCGUGGUCUGGGAAGGCCGGGGGUGAGGACUGUGUCUUCCUGACCACCUGGAGUGUGGAGACAGAGCUGAGGAUGCCUGUGGGUUCUGUCAGGGACUGGGGCCCACAUGUGGGAGACGGUCUCACAGACCCAAGACCUUGAGAGCAGACCCUGCUCCCCAAGCCCACUCUGCAUGUGGGGUGUCCCCAGGGUCCCAUGGAGCUCUGGAGUCAUGGAGUCACCUUGCCUUAAUUAGUUCUUUGUGCUGUUUGAGUUUACUUAAAGGGUGUAGGGCAGGAGGAGGCAGUGACUGUGGGGGUUUGAGAGGAUUUUGGAGGACAGAUCUAGGGGUGGGGGUCCCUGAGGGGUUCAGGGCAGGCAUCCCUGUGUGUAUGAUGGACUGAGGGCAGGGAGUGCCGUGCCACUGUCCCAGGCCACUGGGACAGGAGGACUCUGCCUCCCCUCUGGGAUUGUUCAUUUCGGAGACCCUGGCCUCCUGGCAGUGAAGCUGCAGGUCUCAGUGCAUCAGAGAUUUCGAGUUUCUCUCCCUGCCCACCUGGGAGAGGUGUGAGCAGACCCCGGAGGCUUAGCCAGUGGGGAGGAGGGGAGGGCCCAUCUGCAGGUUGCCACAGCAACCAGCUACUUCUUUCCCACAAGGCUCCAGGCUGGGAGACAGCAGAGGGCCUCUGUGUUGACCCUCCAGGCCCCAAGACCUGAUCCCAGGCAGGGGAACAGGCUCUAGGUUCUGGGGAGGGGCUGGUCCAGUGGAGGGUGGGGAGGGAGCUGCAGGCAGGCUCCCCAUAGCUCAGUCCAGGGGUCCGAGAGAUCUGGGGGAGAAGGGUGGGAUGGGGGGUCUAUUCUAGGGGUGUAAAUGCCCCAAUCUCUGAGGAAGGGGGUGCUCUGAUGGAGAACAACACACGUGCCACACACUCAUGCAGACAUCAUACAACAGGUGCAGCAUACAUGCAAACACACCACACACACCAUGGACACCACACAUGGCACAUGCAUCAGACAUGCAAAACACCACACACAUCGCAUGACACACACAGCACACACACCAUACAA
rnacentral:lncRNA from 1 species